AUGUUUUUCAUUUUGUAUAGCUUGCAACAGUUUAUUUUGCUUUCUAGCCUGCUCCUUAUCUUGGUGUGUGCAGAUUAUGCAGGUCAUAUACCUUACAGCGUUGGCUAUGACCACAGCUACGAUCCUGAUAAUGAAAUGUCAAACAGCGACUGUCUGGAGGAGAGUAGCACAUGCAGUGAUGAUGAGGAAGAAGGUGUUAGAGUAUUCAGCUUUUUCAAGAAGGAGAAUAAAAGGCUAAAAGCAACAGGGCUAGGAAGGGAUGCGUAUAGUGUGUAUGCCACCAAGUACUUCGCUGAGAUACUCAAGCGUAUGGCUAUUGGCCGGAAGGAUGUGAUCUCAAAAUACGGGUUCGAGCAUCUCCUGAAGUUUGAGAAAACUGAAUUCCCUUCUCACUUCACCAGAUGGAUUGUUGGUUGCGUAGACACAAUAUCUUCCCAAAUCAUUAUUGACGAUCAGAAGAUUAUCUCUCUUUCUAAGGAGUCUGUCCAUCUUGUGUUGGGUCUGCCGAACAGUGGCGUUGUAGCGAUGCCCAAUAAGGAGAGAGGGAGGAGUUUCAUUAUGUCUAGGUUCAAUCUUUCAGAAAUUCCAAAUGUCACUUUCUUUGGAAAUAUGCUCACAUCAGAAGAAGAUCUUAGCGAUGAGAACACCUUCAUAUGUUUCAUGAGGUGGAGGGGCAGCCCUCCACACUCAUCCCUUGCUCUCAUACACAUGCCAUGCAUUAUCUGGCUUCUUCUCUCCCUCCCACGAAAAGAGUUUCGUAGAGCCUUCGUGAGUGCCUCCCGAAGGGCUGUCCGUGUGACCGUCCGAGUUUCGAAGGUCCUCCCGAAGGGCUGUCCGAGUGACCGUUCGAGUUUCGAAGGUCCUCCCGAAGGGCUGUCCGCGACACCGUCCGGGGGGGCUGUUCGACCACCUCCCGGAGGGCUGUCUGAUGAGCAGAUGAGGGUUUACAUCCUCGCGGUUGGGAGGUUGUAA
rnacentral:rRNA from 1 species